rnacentral:lncRNA from 1 species
CUCCAAUGUGGCUAGCAUCCGGGUUUUUGUCUGGGUACUUAGGGGGUGUCUUGUGGACCCCUGGCUUCUCUGUUUCAUUCUUUUUGUCCUUCUCGUUCCGUAGGGCGUUGAACAGGGUUGGCAUUCGUUUAGGAGCAAUCUUUUUUCUUGCCUUAGAGUCCUCCUUUAUUAGCGAGGACUUUUUCAGUGGAUAUGGGAACGGGACGUAGGUAUCUUGCUCAUCUAUUUGUUGGUUUAUGUUCCGAGCUGCGGUAUGUAUUUUCGUUCUCACCUUACGGUGUAUCCUAUCAAUAACCCAUUUAUCAUAUCCGUGCUCUCAUGCC